UUUUCAUUUUCUUGGAGGUUUGUUUGUUUGUUUGUUUGUUUUUAUCAAAUACAUUCAUCUCAGUCGUGAAAAGCUGGCAGGAACUGUGGGAUAUUUGGGCUUACAAACAGUUUCAUCAAAAAGUACCACUACUGUAUCGAUUGUAUCAGGGAUAAUUUCGUAAAUUUGAAGAUUCUUUGCAAACUUAAGAAGGUCCACAGAGUGCAACAGGGGACAGAGCAGAGGAAAUCAGAUCAGGCAGAAAGUGCAGGUACACAGAGUACACCUGCAGAGGCAGAGCGAGGUAUUGCAUUCUGCUGAUUUGCAAAGAAACCAGUUUAUAUAUCAGUUUAAAGAUAACUUGGUCAUCUGUCACAGGACAUGUGCUUCCUGCAAAUUGACUCUGCCCUUUUUUUUCACUUAUAGACCCUGAACAUUGAACCACUGUGGUUUAAUUGGGCGUAACUGGGUUUCAAGAUUCAAGAUACUGCUCAGAUUAUUCUGCAAUAAACUCUUCUGAUUGCCAGCAGGAGGGAGCCCAUGGAUGCCAAACUAACCCCAUCUCUUCAACCAGCUGGGCUAUCACAUGAAAAAAAGAUUCUUACUUCUGGAUCACUCAGGCAGCUGUGUUGUCCAGAAACUCAGGAGACACGAUGCUUUCCCGAAGCACUUCAUUUCCAGAGCUGGACCAAUGUUUCUGUCACCACAGAGGACUUCCAAUGCUCAGUAUGAAGAUAUCUGGGAACAACAAGAUUUUGGCUCAGAAUAAGGAUCCCACUUCAACAUAACCCUCUUCACAAUCCCACGCUUGGACUGAUCAUGUUCCUGGGGAAGGAGGGCACAGCUUCAUUAACCCAGCAAAGAUGCACCCAGUUGCCUCAGGAGUUAAUCUGGCAGCUUCACUGCAAGGGACUGGCUCAGAAGGUAAAAGUAUCUUACAAACCAAGUAUUAUUAAAUUCUUUACCCCUUUAAAAAUCCUUUCACUGUGCUACUGCAUUUCUAGACUGAUGUGGGACAUGCCGUGUGGACUGAUCCCCACUCUCUCUGAUUUGCCAUUAAUGUUCAAGGCACGAGAAGAAGUGUUCUGGCUUUUCUUUUUUUCUUUUAAAUAACCAUGUUGAAUAUUUAUCUUAAACCUCAGGUAGCUAUUUAGAAAAGAAACAGCUGAGAAGCAGAUAAUGUACCCCUUUCAUUGACAAAAGAUUUAUGUCUUGCCUGACAGGACUUCAUACUUAGAGAGCUCACAGCUGACAUAGUCAAACACAAGUAGCACGUAGGCCAGUGUUUAUCCAGGGUAACCGAGACUGCUGCUCCCACACUUUUUUGUGUGAAAUUAAAUCAGCCACAUUAAAAUUGGCAAAGAUUUAAAAACAUGAUAAAAAUGCUAUUAAGCAGAGGGGAGAGAGGCUCAGAAGCAGUUUGAAUCAAUGAAUACUGUGCAAAAAAAGUGGGGUAUGCCUGAACAUUUCUGCUGACCUUCUGUAGGAGCCAUCUGUCUAGUUGCAAGGCACCCUCUCCCCAUGGGAACGGGUGAAGAGUUCAGCCACAGUACCGACCACCCUUCCCCCACAGCUGUCAAAACCAUUGUAGUUUGGCCCUAGCACAUGUAUCACUAAAUUCCAUGCUGUGCCAAAAUGAGAAGGGAAACAGUAUGAAACGUGUUCUUAGGUACCUCUUUGCCACGGACUACAUGUAGCUUGGUGUCACUGACUUCUGAGAGAAAAGGCUUAUCUGCAUUUUAGCACAACUUUUUAGUCAAUGUCUAGGGAAAAAAACACUAAUUUUUUUUUUUUUUAAGCAGGGGUUGACAAAGGUAGGCUAGAAUAGUAAAAUUCUGCAUUUCCCAGGAAAUCCUUAAUUUUUUCCAAGGACAAUAUGACAGUUUCCACCAGCUUUGCCACAGCUCAAAUGAAGCAGAAGGAAUAAAUGUCUUUUAGUAUAGUGUUUAUAUUCAGAUAGGCUUUCAGGGGAGGCCAGAAGUAGGGGCAAGGAAUUGGGUAUACCUUCAUGUCAUGAAAUGAACAGGUUCACUGUGUUUUUUUCCUUUCCCUGCCCCUCAUCACUCUGCCAGUCCAGACAGCUCUACCCACAGAAGUGCUACUGAUGGCAGCCUAAACUGCAUAUUGGACAGCUCAGGCAGAAUUUGGCCCAGAGGAACUAAAUUAACCAUACAUCUCCUUAAAAUACUCCCUCCCAUCUAAUAUAAAUAAUGCUAAUAUCUUCAGAAGUAUUACUGUUACCCUAGGACUGAAAAAAAAGAA